rnacentral:rRNA from 1 species
GACGAACGCUGGCGGCGUGCCUAAUACAUGCAAGUAGGACGCAGUUGCGAACGGGUGAGUAACGCGUAGGUAACUGCCUAUUAGAGGGGGAUAACUAUUGGAAACGAUAGCUAAUACCGCAUACUAGUAGAUGGACCUGCGUUGUAUUAGCUAGUAGGUAGGGUAAUGGCCUACCUAGGCAACGAUACAUAGCCGACUUGAGAGGGUGGUCAGCCACACUGGGACGUGAACACCGCCCAGACUCCUACGGGAGGCAGCAGUAGGGAAUCUUCGGACAUGGGGGGAACCCUGACCGAGCAACGCCGCGUUAGUGAAGAAGGUUUUCUGAUCGUAAAGCUCUGUUGUUAAGGAAGCGGUACUUAACCAGAAAGGGACGGCUAACUACGUGCCAGCAGCCGCGGUAAUUC